CCACAGCCCUGUUUCCAGUGCUGCAGGAAUACCAAGUAUUUCCAGCAACAUGCAGGAGGGUGUUUCAAAUGAGGAAUAGUCAACCUCUUGCUGCUUGUGCUUUCUGCUCCUACUAAUCACUGCUUUAUUCUCCCUUGUGCAAAAAAAAGUUACAUUUGAUAUCAGCAAGUGGUUGGCUCCAGCCUCAGUGUCUUCAACAGGCUGCCAGACGAGCUCUGCCCUGGAGUGAACCUGCCAGGUGGGGCACAAGCCAGAGGUACCAAAGAAAUUUUAAUCGAUCAGCAGGGGAUCAUGUUCUCUUGGACACCCAGGAGCGCUGGAUAAUGAAGUGCUGGGCUAAAGGAGGCACAACCAUUCUGUCACAGCACUGCAAAAUGCCCCACAAACAUCACCCACAAACCCAGGCAGCAUCAGUGGUGGUUUCCUUACAUGGACUCACCUUCCCUCUCUGACUCUGUACCCACCAGAGGAGACAGGAGGUAGGAGACUCCUGAGAACCCGAAAUGCAGGAGCUGAAGCUGAAGGUUGAAGUGUGUGGAGGUGCUCAGCUAUUGCAGGACGGUCUGAGGUGUUUAACCUCAGUCUGCACAUCUGAUGCUCUCCAAAAAGCGCUGAAGACUGAGCCCUCUGUCCCUCUCUGAGACCUUCUUUGCUCUCAAGUGCCCAAAAAUACACAUUUCUGGUAAGGAGAAGAGAAACACACACCCCCCCCCCCCCCGCCCUCCCUCCAAGUUGCUGCAUCGGGAUGGUGACAGAUUUCAACAGUAAAAGCCAAGAGCAGAGCAAAUCUGACAGGACUGGCAGCAUCCCAUGGGGAACCAGCUGUGCCCAAAACACCAAAAUCAUCAUCUCAAGCUUUUCUGCAGGCACCUGUGGAACCCCCUCGGCCAAGAGGCGUCAGCGCUGUGUGGUGCCACCAGGGCGAGUUGAGGUGUUCAGGCUGUUUAAGGCCAUCAGAUAACGAGAGAUCAAUGGCUGUGCAAUUACAGAUGAACAAGAGACAGUGAUAUGGUGGUGGUGUUGCUUUGUCAGUGAGUAAAGAGAGAAGAUGAGCCAGGAAGCAAUGGAGGAGCCUCUGGACCCUGCAUGGGGAAUUGGAGAUCUCAGCCACGGAUUCUCAGAGAACAAAUAAACAGGGGAAAAUCUCCCAAGAGCUGAAGCCUUAUUAGGAUCUUGAAAGCAAAUCAAGUUUUCACAAGAGUGAGAUGCAUUGCCAGUGAAAAGAUCCAAACAUCUCCCUGGAAAUAGUCCCAGAGGCUGCAGUGAAAUCCCAGUGGCUGAGUGAGGAGGAUGGUCAUGCACCAUGCUGAGCAAGGUGAGGACGUGGCACAGGCAGGGAAUGCUGGCAGUGGAGGAGCACAGGGAGGUAUCAGAAGCACUCAAGUGCUAUAUCCCAAGGACAGGAAUUGCCUCCUGGCCAUUGAUAAGGUUAGGUCUUGGCGGUCCUGUUUGGAAAAGCAAAGCUCUGGGAGCUGUUUUGCCAAUGCAUUCUGCAGAGGCACAAAGGUGGGGAGGGGGCAGAGCCAACAGGUACAAGACUUCAGGAGAGCAGGUGUGGAGGGACGAAGGAUCUUAAAUUCUCCUUUUCUGCAUUAAGGUCAGAGUUUGGAGGUCUAUUAAUCCAGGACCCUGCUAUAUAAUUCAAAUCCACAUGGCCUGUAGGUUUGGGGAACAAGUUGGGAAGACCCCAGGGCACUUUGACAUUGCUUAAGUUUGUGGAUUUAAUGAGUGGGCUGGUAGGGAUGAUGGACAGUGUCUGAUUCUCUGUGCUGGUGUUUAAACUCAUGUUUGGGCUAAGGCUCAGCAACCCAAAGGUCGAGAAGACUAAUUUAUUGCUGUAUGGUGCAGGGCCAUUGGAGAUUCACUGUCACUUGGGGAAUACAGGAGAGUUGGAAUAGGGAGUCAAAGGCAGCUGCAUCCAGUGUGCCAAAGGUUGGGAGAGCUAGCAAAGGACUGGUGCCAUUUGCAGCCUCUGCACUGCAGGUGUUUGGUCUCAGUAGCCAGAGGA